CCUACGGGGGGCAGCAGUAGGGAAUUUUCGUCAAUGGGCGCAAGCCUGAACGAGCAAUGCCGCGUGAACGAGGAAGGUCUUCGGAUCGUAAAGUUCUGUUGAAGGGGAAAAAGAGCGGAGAGAGGAAAUGAACUCCGAUUGAUAUUACCCUUCGAGGAAGUCACGGCUAACUACGUGCCAGCAGCCGCGGUAAUACGUAGGUGGCGAGCGUUAUCCGGAAUGAUUGGGCGUAAAGGGUGCGUAGGCGGCCUGCUAAGUCUGGAGUGAAAGGUACCGGCUCAACCGGUACAGGUUCUGGAAACUGGCGGGCUAGAGAGGAGGGGAGGGCGGUGGAACUCCAUGGGUAGCGGUAAAAUGCGUAGAUAUAUGGAAGGACACCAGUGGCGAAGGCGGCCGCCUGGCCUGUUGACUGACGCUGAGGCACGAAAGCGUGGGGAGCAAAUAGGAUUAGAUACCCGAGUAGUC
rnacentral:rRNA from 1 species